rnacentral:lncRNA from 1 species
UGAAUUGUCCAAUUUCAUGGAGCAAUCGAUAUCGGAUUGAGUCCAAAACUUGAGGAACAUCAUAAUGUUGUGGGAGGAGUCAUUUGGUGAGUUUGAGUGAAAUCCAACCUCUAAAACUAUGCAAUACACCAACCACUCCAUUUCAGAACAAAAUUCGUACAAACCUGAAUUGUCCAAUUUCAUGGACCAAUCGAUAUCGGAUUGAGUACAAAACUUGGAGCACGUCAUAAUAUGGUUCGAAGAGUCAUUUGGUGGGUUUUGAGUGAAAUCCAAUCUCUACAACUACGCAAUACACCAACCACUCCGUUUCAGAACGAACUUCAUACUAACCUGAAUUAUCCAAUUUCAUAAACCAAUCGAUAUCAGAUUGAGUCCAAAACUUGGGGAACAUCAUAACAAGGUGGGAGGAGUCAUUUGGUGGGUUUUUAGUGAAAUCCAAUCUCUUGAAUUAUGUAAUGCACCAACCACUCAAUUUCAUAACAAACUUCGGACGAACGGGAAUUGUCCAAUACACCAACCACUCCAUUUCAAAACGAAUUUCGUACGAACCUAAAUUGUCCAAUUUUAUGCACCAAUCGAUAUCGGAUUGAGUCCAAAACUUGGGGAACAUCAUAAUAUGGUGGGAGGAGUCAUUUGGUGGGUUUUUAGUGAAAUCCAAUCUCUAGAACUAUGCAAUACCCCAACCACUUUAGUUCAGAAUGAACCUCGUACGAACCUAAAUUGUCCAAUUUCGUGGACCAAUCGAUAACGGAUUGAGUGCAAAACUUGGGGAACAUCAUAAUAUGGUGGGAGGAGUCAUCUGGUGACUUUUGAGUGAAAUCCAAUGGCUAAAACUGUGCAAUACACCAACCACUCCAUUUCAGAACGAACUUCGUACGAGCCUGAAUUGUCCUAUUUCAUGGACCAAUCGAUAUCGGAUUGAGUCCAAAACUUGGGGAACAUCAUAAUGUUGUGGGAGGAAUCAUUUUGUGAGUUUUGAGUGAAAUCCAAUGGCUAAAAGGAUGCAAUACACCAACCACUCCAUUUCAGACCGACAUUCUUACGAACAUGAAUUGUCCGAUUUCAUGGACCAAUCGAUAUCGGAUUGAACCCAAAACUUGGGGAACAUCAAAAUACGGUGGGAGGAGUCAUUUGGUGGGUUUUGAGUCAAAUCCAAUCUCUACAACUAUGUAAUACACCAACCACUCCAUUUCAUUUCAUAACGAACAUCGUAUGAACCUACAUUGUCCAAUUUCAUGGACCAAACGAUAUCGGAUUGAGUACAAAACAUGGGGAACAUCAUAAUAUGGUGGGAUGAUUGAUCUGGUGACUUUUGAGUGAAAUCCAAUGGCUAAAACUAUGCAAUACACCAACCACUCCAUUUCUGAAUGAACUUCGUACGAGCCUGAAUUGUCCAAUUUCAUAGACCAAUCGAUAUCGGAUUGAGUCCAAAACUUGGAGAGCGUCAUAAUAUGGUGGGUGGAGUCAUUUGGUGGGUUUCGAGUCAAAUCCAAUCUCUACAACUAUGCAAUACACCAACCACCCCAUUUCAUAACGAACUUCGUACGAACCUGAAUUGUCCAAUUUCAUGUCGGAUUGAGGCCAAAACUUGAGGAACAUCAUAGUGUUGUGGGAGAAGUCAUUUGGUGGUUUUGAGUAAAAUCCAACCUCUAAAACUAUGCAAUACACCAACCACUCCAUUUCAAAACAAAAUUCGUACAAACCUGAAUUGUCCAAUUUCAUGGACCAAUCGAUAUCGG